CACCCGCCCCGUGCGGCCCGCGGUCUCCAGCCGCUUUCCCUCGCCCCACCACGGCCGUGGGCUCGCGGCGUCCGUGGGACCCACUUCUGAAGGUCGGUCCCCAGGGGGAAAAAAACCUGAAGGAAAGCCAAGAAGCUCCUGUUACAACCUGAGUCAGAUCAUGUCUCUCCUUGACUCAGAACAUUCCAGUGGAGCCCAGCUAUCACAGCCUGCAAUGCCCUACAGGAUCUGUACCCCAGCCCCCAUUAUAUCCCUGAUCAUACUCUCUACUCCUUUCCCCUUGCUUGUAUCACUCCAGCUACACUGGCCUCCUUGCAGUUUCUCAAACAUACUAGGCACAGUCCUACUUCAGGGCCCUUGAAUGUGUUGUUCCCACUGCCUAUACAAAUUCUUUCCCCACAGAUUGCAUUGUUCCCUCACCUCCUUCGGGGUUUUAUUCAGAUAUUAUCUUCUCAGGGAACCCUGCCUUAACCAUUCAAUCUAACACACCCCUUAAUAUUUCCUAUUCCCAUAUCUUGUUUAACUUUUUUAUUGGCAUCUAUUCCCUGCUAAUGUAUUAUACAUUUUACAUUUUAUUUUGUUUGUUUUUGUUCUUUUCCAAUAGAAUGCAAGUCCCACCAAAGCAGUGAUUUCUGUCCAUUUGUUCCCUUCAUAGCUGUAGCACCAUGCACACAGUUAAGUGCUCAACUGCUGAAUUAAUGGUUGUCUGAAAGACUUAAAGCAAACAGGGUCAGCCUGAGGAGACUUACACAGGGCUGAGGAACCUACCCCAAAUGAGUUAAGAAGUUGGUUCCUGGAAAAAUUAGAAGACCAGUUUUCUCCCCAAAGAGACCCAGGACAGCCCCAAGCUAGUUUCCAAGGACUGCCUUUGCACAGAGUCCCUCCCCUCUGAUUCAUUCUCCUCCUCCCUCCAGCACCUGGUUAACUCCAUUCAUCCUGGGGAUAUCAGCUCAGACUUAACUUUGUAGGGCACAAAAACCCUAUUUCCCAUAAAACCAUAAAAAUCUUAUUUCUCACCUCCAGGCUACACAGGUCUCACACGUCUUCCUGGCACAGUGUUCAAAAUGUAGCAGGGGCUCAGUAAAUUUGUGUUGGAGAAGAAGAAGAAGAAAGAAGAAGGAGAAGGAGAAGAAGAAGAAGAAAAAGAAGAAGAACGUCAAUAAGCUCUACCAGGGCAGCAAGGAGCUCCACCUGGGGAAGAGGGAGUGGCGUUACUGAGAAGCAUGUGUCCAGGCCCCUUGGAGAGGAUUCCAGGGCCUGCUCAGCCAGAAAAUGCAAGAAAGCAAGUGGCCACAUUGUUGAUGGGACCAAGGAUAUGGAUUCUCGGUCGUCUUAGAGAUUUAAGCCCAAGCCUCUUGGACUGACAUCCAGGCCAUUCAUUUCAGUAAUUCUUUAAAAAAAUAAUACCUGCUAACAAGACAGUAAACAAUGUGUGUUGGAGAGGGUGUG